rnacentral:rRNA from 3 species
AACGCGAAGAACCUUACCUACUCUUGACAUCCAGAGAACUUAGCAGAGAUGCUUUGGUGCCUUCGGGAACUCUGAGACAGGUGCUGCAUGGCUGUCGUCAGCUCGUGUUGUGAAAUGUUGGGUUAAGUCCCGCAACGAGCGCAACCCUUAUCCUUUGUUGCCAGCGGUUCGGCCGGGAACUCAAAGGAGACUGCCAGUGAUAAACUGGAGGAAGGUGGGGAUGACGUCAAGUCAUCAUGGCCCUUACGAGUAGGGCUACACACGUGCUACAAUGGCAUAUACAAAGAGAAGCGACCUCGCGAGAGCAAGCGGACCUCAUAAAGUAUGUCGUAGUCCGGAUUGGAGUCUGCAACUCGACUCCAUGAAGUCGGAAUCGCUAGUAAUCGUGGAUCAGAAUGCCACGGUGAAUACGUUCCCGGGUCUUGUACACACCG